GUGGGGAAUCUUAGACAAUGGGGGAAACCCUGAUCUAGCCAUGCCGCGUGAUCGAUGAAGGCCUUAGGGUUGUAAAGAUCUUUCAGGUGGGAAGAUAAUGACUGUACCACCAGAAGAAGCCCCGGCUAACUCCGUGCCAGCCGCCGCGGUAAUACGGAGGGGGCUAGCGUUGUUCGGAAUUACUGGGCGUAAAGCGCACGUAGGCGGAUUGGAAAGUUGGGGGUGAAAUCCCGGGGCUCAACCACGGAACUGCCUUCAAAACUCCCAGUCUUGAGUUCGAGAGAGGUGAGUGGAAUUCCGAGUGUAGAGGUGAAAUUCGUAGAUAUUCGGAGGAACACCAGUGGCGAAGGCGGCUCACUGGCUCGAUACUGACGCUGAGGUGCGAAAGCGUGGGGAGCAAACAGGAUUAGAUACCCCGGUAGUCC
rnacentral:rRNA from 1 species